GGUUGUCACUUGUGUAACUUCAUGUGUGUCUUUUUUCUUCUUCUAACAGGUGGUGUGAUGCUAUGUUGAAAACUAUGAAGGUGACCACGUUGGAGUUCUACAUAAAGAACAACAUUCAGUUUCUGAAAUUCAUGCAGGAGACUCCACCGCGGUCAUCCAGACUGACUAAAGAAAACAUGGUCGGUGUCGCCAGGGACAUGAAGAUGGCCCAGAAGAGCCUCAAGAGGUUGGUGGUGGUCCACCAAAUGGCAGUAAAGAGGACGAAAUACUCCGAGCUGCCAGGAGGUGACGCCAUCACCAGCUUCUUAGAUGGGGCUAAAUUGAAAAUUCCCCAGCUGCUCGACGAGCUGGAGGAGGAGUACACAAACAACCUCCGGUUCCGGCUGUACGGCUUUAUGUGUGGCUAUUGGAGCUGCGUAUUUGGUCACAGGCCUGGAGUGUACUCUAACAUGACCGACACAGAGUACACGCAGGCCCUGGCCAGUGGUGGAGAGCAGGGCUACUUGAUACAUGUCAAGGAGCACAAGACCAAUAAGUCUUUUGGGGAGGCCCAGCUGGUCCUAACAGGUGUGGAGUUUGGGUGGCUCCAAAGGUGGAUGGCCAUAAAGAACAAAGUCCCCAAGAAGGAGAAAAACACAUUUGUUAUGUUCACAAAAGGGACCGGUCCCUGUAAGAACUUAAACAAUUGCCUGAGGAUGGCCUGGGCGGAGCUGAGAAUUGGCGGAAAUAUCAGCUUCACCCUUAUCCGGACGGCACUUGCGCACUACGUAAGUAAAUUACACAAUUAAAUCCAUGUGUAU
rnacentral:lncRNA from 1 species